rnacentral:rRNA from 1 species
UGGGGAAUAUUGCACAAUGGGCGCAAGCCUGAUGCAGCCAUGCCGCGUGUGUGAAGAAGGCCUUCGGGUUGUAAAGCACUUUCAGCGGGGAGGAAGGCGUUAAGGUUAAUAACCUUGGCGAUUGACGUUACCCGCAGAAGAAGCACCGGCUAACUCCGUGCCAGCAGCCGCGGUAAUACGGAGGGUGCAAGCGUUAAUCGGAAUUACUGGGCGUAAAGCGCACGCAGGCGGUCUGUCAAGUCGGAUGUGAAAUCCCCGGGCUCAACCUAGGAACUUCAUUCGAAAAUGGCAAGACUAGGUCUUGUUGAAGGGGGGAGAAAUCCAGGUGGAGCGGUGAAAUGCGUAGAAAUCUGGAAGAAUACCGGUGGGGAAGGGGGCCCCCUGGACAAAGACUGACGCUCAGGUGCGAAAGCGUGGGGAGCAAACAGG